GACGGAGGGUGCAAGCGUUGCUCGGAAUCACUGGGCGUAAAGGGUGCGUAGGCGGGUCUUUAAGUCAGGGGUGAAAUCCUGGAGCUCAACUCCAGAACUGCCUUUGAUACUGAGAGCUUGAGUCCGGGAGAGGUGAGUGGAACUGCGAGUGUAGAGGUGAAAUUCGUAGAUAUUCGCAAGAACACCAGUGGCGAAGGCGGCUCACUGGCCCGGUACUGACGCUGAGGUGCGAAAGCGUGGGGAGCAAACAGGG
rnacentral:rRNA from 1 species